GAUGAACGCUAGCGGGAGGCCUAACACAUGCAAGCUGAGCGGUAGAGUAUCUUCGGGUACUUGAGAGCGGCGUACGGGUGCGGAACACGUGUGCAACCUGCCUUUAUCAGGGGGAUAGCCUUUCGAAAGGAAGAUUAAUACCCCAUAAUAUAUAGAGUGGCAUCACUUUAUAUUGAAAACUGAGGUGGAUAAAGAUGGGCACGCGCAAGAUUAGAUAGUUGGUGAGGUAACGGCUCACCAAGUCGAUGAUCUUUAGGGGGCCUGAGAGGGUGAUCCCCCACACUGGUACUGAGACACGGACCAGACUCCUACGGGAGGCAGCAGUGAGGAAUAUUGGACAAUGGGUUAGCGCCUGAUCCAGCCAUCCCGCGUGAAGGACGACGGCCCUAUGGGUUGUAAACUCCUUCUGUACAGGGAUAAACCUAUCUACGUGUAGAUAGCUGAAGGUACUGUACGAAUAAGCACCGGCUAACUCCGUGCCAGCCGCCGCGGUAAAAC
rnacentral:rRNA from 1 species